GAUGUUUUAAUGAGUGAGUAUAUUUGAUUGGUGCAAAAGUAAUUGUGGUUUUUGCCAUUUCUUUUAAUAUAUGUCAAAACUUAUCACAUUUUAAACCCUAAAUAUGUACAGGUCAAUAAUGCUAUUUUUGAAAUUACAACUGCACAAUGAGUUGUUUAAUUACAGGUGAGACUAAAGAGCUACAAAGUGAGUGUUCUGGACACUCUGAGAAUCUACAACUGGAGAAGCCAACAUUGCCUGUGGACUGAGAGCCACAUCCCAGAAAGUGAUGUUCAAGUUGAGAUGGGAAAGAUGGGUUGGAAAUGGGGGGGGCAGGGGGAUGAGGGAGGAGGAUGCUGGGGGAGAAAAGAAAAAUCCUGGCCGAGGAAACUAAGUAUGUCAGGCUCCUGAGGAGUGGGGAGGCAGCAUGGUGGACCAGAGGGGCUUGGUGAAGCCAGAGAGGACAGAGGGAAUGCUUGACACAUCAAGCCUUUGUUUUCUCUCAUCCAGAUGUCCAGUGGUCUCAGGCAAAGGCCCAGGCAACGGAGGCUUCCCAUGGGGCCCUCUACCUCUUCACUGCUCCAGGUCGGAUCUGCAGCCUGACGUGGCCAUUCCUCCAGUGUUUGGAGAAUCAUUGCCUUGCCUUCAUUCAGGAGCCAGAUUGCCUGGGCUAGAAUCCCAGCUCCACCAUUCACCAGCUGUGUAAACUCCCUGGGCCUCAGUUUUCUCACCUGUAAAACGGGAUUCAUUGGACUGUUAUGGAUUAAAUGAGUUGACUUUUAUAAAGAACUUAGAAGAACCUUAUUUAUUUGUUAUGUACAAAAUGAAAUUCCAUCCUGCCUAAUAAAUAUCAG
rnacentral:lncRNA from 1 species